GGGGCUAUAGCUCAGCUGGGAGAGCGCCUGCUUUGCACGCAGGAGGUCAGCGGUUCGAUCCCGCUUAACUCCACCA
rnacentral:tRNA from 1 species